rnacentral:lncRNA from 1 species
AUGGCAUAAUAUUCAAUGUGCUAUAUACUAAAUUCAGUGUACUGAUAUGGACACCAUGACCUAAUCUAUGUUAUCAAGGUAAAGAAUGUUGGUGAUUUAGGGCGUAAAUAUGAUACCCAAAACUCAACAAUCUAACCUGAAAGAAAAUUGGAAAACUAACAAGAUGAAGAAUGUAAUUAAUUAUUAACAUUUUCAUAUAUUUAUUCAUGUAAAAUAUGUUGGUAUAGGUAAGAGUAACAAGCAAUAGUGAAAAC